UCUAAAUGUAAUUAAUUAUCAAAUUAGUAUUAGUUAAGUUCUUUAAAUUUAAAGAUUUUGGCGGUAUUUUAUUCUAUUCAGAGGAACCUGUUCUAUAAUUGAUAAUCCACAUUAAUUUAUACUUAAUUUAGAAGUUUGUAUAUCAUCGUUAUUUGAAUAUUUUAAAAGAAUUUAAUAUUCAAAACUUAAAAUUUUAGUUAAAAUCAGAUCAAGGUAUAGCUUAUAAUUAAGAAGAAAUGGGUUACAAUAAAUUUAUUUUUGGAUUUUUAAUUUAAAAUUAAAUUAAAAUUGGAUUUGAAAGUAAAAUUUUAAAUUUUUAAAAUUUGAGUAAGUUUUAAAAUAUGC
rnacentral:rRNA from 1 species